rnacentral:rRNA from 1 species
GUAACGAGCGCAACCCUUGUCCUUAGUUACCAGCACGUAGUGGUGGGCACUCUAAGGAGACUGCCGGUGACAAACCGGAGGAAGGUGGGGAUGACGUCAAGUCAUCAUGGCCCUUACGGCCUGGGCUACACACGUGCUACAAUGGUCGGUACAAAGGGUUGCCAAGCCGCGAGGUGGAGCUAAUCCCAUAAAACCGAUCGUAGUCCGGAUCGCAGUCUGCAACUCGACUGCGUGAAGUCGGAAUCGCUAGUAAUCGUGAAUCAGAAUGUCACGGUGAAUACGUUCCCGGGCCUUGUACACACCGCCCGUCACACCAUGGGAGUGGGUUGCACCAGAAGUAGCUAGUCUAACCCUCGGGAGGACGGUUACCACGGUGUGAUUCAUGACUGGGGUGAAGUCGUAACAGGGUAACC